CUCUCUGGAUGUCCACUCCAACCCCCCUGCGCCGGUGCUCCAGCAGGUCACCGGGCCUUAUGCCCCUGUCCCUCCCACCCUUGCUCAUCCCCAGUACUGGGCCUGGCGGGGAGACGGCACGUUUGUCGAGUGAAUAAGUGAGUGGCUGAGGAAGCUCGUUUCCGAGUCCCACAGCCGGACUGACUCAGCCGAUGAGUUCAGAAGAAAUAGAGAAUCCUGUAGGAGCGGGCUUGGGGGCAGGGGCGGGCGACCGAGGAGGGCAGAGGAUCUGCUCCCUGUCACUCGGGGCGUCCGCGGGCAGAGGGCGGGGCGGUUUCUGGAGCCGACCGGGGAAGGCAGCGCCCGCCGGCUCCGCGGAAGAGGCCGGGCUCUGGCCGGAAACACCUGGCGGGCUCCGGUCUCUCCCCGCGGGCUUCGCUCCCUGAUUGCUGGCCGAGGUGAGCCACUGCCCCUCGGAGGUGGAAGACUGUGGGGAGUUCGGCCCCCUCGUCCUCAGGACUGUCCCCCGUUACUGGAAAAGUUACCACAGCGAGCAUUCUUCUGACAGGAAGUUGGUGAGGUAGACAGAAAACCAACAUCGUGCUCGCCACCAACAAACAAACCUUGACCAAGAAAGUGCCUGUGUGUGCAAGGUGCCAUCUGAACACUGGAGACACAGAGUGGUCUGGGCUCUGGCUCCAGCAUUGUUGGGAAGUGAAAACGUACCCGUGAAAAGAGAGCAAAAA